GACCGUGUAGCUCAGUUGGUAGAGCGUCGAUCUGUAGUAAUUCGAAGGUCGCGGGUUCAAGACCCUGCCGCGGUAG
rnacentral:tRNA from 1 species